CACGUAGGGGGCGAGCGUUGUCCGGAUUCAUUGGGCGUAAAGCGCGCGCAGGCGGCUCGGAAAGUCGGGUGUGAAAACUCGGGGCUCAACCCCGGGCGUGCAUCCGAUACUGCCGGGCUUGAGGCAGGUAGGGGAGAUCGGAAUUCCUGGUGUAGCGGUGAAAUGCGCAGAUAUCAGGAGGAACACCGGUGGCGAAGGCGGAUCUCUGGGCCUGUCCUGACGCUGAGGCGCGAAAGCGUGGGUAACAAACAGG
rnacentral:rRNA from 1 species